GCAGAUGGAGCUGAAAUGGACAGUACUUUGGCUCUCCCUAUCACGGUUGUUAGCCAGCAGCAGGUGCCUUUCUUUACUCCUGGUACAGACCCAAAGCAGGCUGGCAUUAACCUCUCAGGGACUCUGUAGAAGAAGGAUUUCUGCAUAUUACAAUACCUUAAGACCCACCAGUCCUGGGGAAAGAACUCCAUCGCUCUGAAGGGUCAGAGGGAUACGUGAGCCCUGCAAGCACUGCUAGCAGGCUGGAGGAGGACAACGAGGACCCUCAAGGAGUGUGUGAUGCGGGCAUGAGGAAGCAGCGUGGAGUAUGGCAUAGUUUGAGGUGAAGAGAGGCCUGCUUGCUCUGCAGUGCAGGCAUAGUCCUAUAGGUGAUAUGAACGCCCAGAAUGCAAUAUGUGGCCUAAUGGCUGCCCUGACCAUUCUGAAUGGUAUUAGGAGUCACUCCCAUACUUUCAUAGUCCCAGACGAGAAAAAUGGAAAGACAGCCUAAAGCUGCUUCAGCUCUCUGACGCCUGCUCGAUCAUCAAGUUCUUUAUUAUGCCUGCGUGGUGCACAGCACAGAUUAUCUCCUGUGUGUCUGAGGGAAGAAGAGAUCUAAAUGUAAAGCAGACUGGCUAUAUUUUAACAAUGAUAAUGUUUGCCAUGGAAAAGGCAAUUCAGAUUUGUUUAGAUGCUCUCCUGACUAGUUCCUGAGCUUGAAUGCUGUGUGCAGACUCUUCAGCUGAAGCAAAUCACUCUUCCUGACGUGCCAGCAGAGGCACAGACUGCUGCCCUUCAGGGCACAGUGCAAGAGACGUUUAUUUUAUUGAGCAGCUGAUUGACUAGCUAUGGAUAUUUUUCUUGGGUUUGUUUUUGCCAACAGCAUAUCUAAUUUGCGAUUUAAUCUUUUUAUUCAAUGCCUAGCUGUCUCAGCAGUCCACUUUCAGAACAAGCAAGUGAAAUGUAUACAUUGUCUGUUGUUUGCAAUUAAUCAUUAGUGAUUACGCUGUGAAAUUAUCUAUCCCAUAUGAUUUAAUAUCAGUAACGGAUGGCUAUAAAAGUUACUUCUGCCAUCUGCAUAUUUGUUGUUUCCAACUGCUAUUCAGAGACCAGCUUUUUAAGGAUUUUUUUUUUUUUUUUUGAGCAGAGGAAGAUAGCCAUCUGCUAAUCUUGACCAUGAACAUAUUUUAAGAUAUGUUGAUUUGAUUAUAUAAUGGAAGUGCAAAUGGGGAACAUGCAGUUGAAGACUGUUAUCAGUUUAUUGAUCAAUAAAUAUUUAAGUAACUGCUUACA
rnacentral:lncRNA from 1 species